rnacentral:rRNA from 1 species
GUAUACGGUGGAUGCCUAGGCAGUUAGAGGCGAUGAAGGACGUGUAAGUCUGCGAAAAGCUGUGGUGAGCUGACAAAACGCAUUUGAGCCACAGAUGUCCGAAUGGGGAAACCCAAUCCUUCGGGAUUAUCUGCAUGUGAAUACAUAGCAUGUAGAAGCAAACGCAGGGAACUGAAACAUCUAAGUACCUGUAGGAAAAGAAAUCAACCGAGAUUCCCCUAGUAGCGGCGAGCGAACGGGGAGCAGCCGAUACGAUAUUCAUUAGCAGAACACGUUGGAAAGCGUGGCGAUACCAGGUGAUAGCCCUGUAUGUGAAGAUGAAUGUUGUACAUAUUAAGUAGGUCGGGACACGUGUUAUCUUGACUGAAGAUGGGGGGACCAUCCUCCAAGGCUAAAUACUCCUAACUGACCGAUAGUGAACCAGUACCGUGAGGGAAAGGCGAAAAGAACCCCUGUGAGGGGAGUGAAAUAGAACCUGAAACCGUAUACGUACAAGCAGUGGGAGCCCUUCGGGGUGACUGCGUACCUUUUGUAUAAUGGGUCAGCGACUUAUAUUUUGUAGCGAGGUUAACCGCAUAGGGGAGCCGUAGCGAAAGCGAGUGUUAACUGCGCGUCUAGUUGCAAGGUAUAGACCCGAAACCCGGUGAUCUAUCCAUGAGCAGGUUGAAGGUUGAGUAACAUCAACUGGAGGACCGAACCCACUGUCGUUGAAAAGCCAGGGGAUGACUU